rnacentral:sRNA from 1 species
UACCUAUGCUGGUAGCCUGGAGCGGCUAU